UCAAUGGCGGCAGACUACACAUGCAGUCGAGCGGUAGCACAGAGAGCUUGCUCUCGGGUGACGAGCGGCGGACGGGUGAGUAAUGUCUGGGAAACUGCCUGAUGGAGGGGGAUAACUACUGGAAACGGUAGCUAAUACCGCAUAAUGUCGCAAGACCAAAGAGGGGGACCUUCGGGCCUCUUGCCAUCAGAUGUGCCCAGAUGGGAUUAGCUAGUAGGUGGGGUAACGGCUCACCUAGGCGACGAUCCCUAGCUGGUCUGAGAGGAUGACCAGCCACACUGGAACUGAGACACGGUCCAGACUCCUACGGGAGGCAGCAGUGGGGAAUAUUGCACAAUGGGCGCAAGCCUGAUGCAGCCAUGCCGCGUGUAUGAAGAAGGCCUUCGGGUUGUAAAGUACUUUCAGCGGGGAGGAAGGUGUUGAGGUUAAUAACCUCAGCAAUUGACGUUACCCGCAGAAGAAGCACCGGCUAACUCCGUGCCAGCAGCCGCGGUAAUACGGAGGGUGCAAGCGUUAAUCGGAAUUACUGGGCGUAAAGCGCACGCAGGCGGUCUGUCAAGUCGGAUGUGAAAUCCCCGGGCUCAACCUGGGAACUGCAUUCGAAACUGGCAGGCUAGAGUCUUGUAGAGGGGGGUAGAAUUCCAGGUGUAGCGGUGAAAUGCGUAGAGAUCUGGAGGAAUACCGGUGGCGAAGGCGGCCCCCUGGACAAAGACUGACGCUCAGGUGCGAAAGCGUGGGGAGCAAACAGGAUUAGAUACCCUGGUAGUCCACGCCGUAAACGAUGUCGACUUGGAGGUUGUGCCCUUGAGGCGUGGCUUCCGGAGCUAACGCGUUAAGUCGACCGCCUGGGGAGUACGGCCGCAAGGUUAAAACUCAAAUGAAUUGACGGGGGCCCGCACAAGCGGUGGAGCAUGUGGUUUAAUUCGAUGCAACGCGAAGAACCUUACCUACUCUUGACAUCCAGAGAACUUUCCAGAGAUGGAUUGGUGCCUUCGGGAACUCUGAGACAGGUGCUGCAUGGCUGUCGUCAGCUCGUGUUGUGAAAUGUUGGGUUAAGUCCCGCAACGAGCGCAACCCUUAUCCUUUGUUGCCAGCGGUCCGGCCGGGAACUCAAAGGAGACUGCCAGUGAUAAACUGGAGGAAGGUGGGGAUGACGUCAAGUCAUCAUGGCCCUUACGAGUAGGGCUACACACGUGCUACAAUGGCGCAUACAAAGAGAAGCGACCUCGCGAGAGCAAGCGGACCUCAUAAAGUGCGUCGUAGUCCGGAUUGGAGUCUGCAACUCGACUCCAUGAAGUCGGAAUCGCUAGUAAUCGUAGAUCAGAAUGCUACGGUGAAUACGUUCCCGGGCCUUGUACACACCGCCCGUCACACCAUGGGAGUGGGUUGCAAAAGAAGUAGGUAGCUUAACCUUCGGGAGGGCGCUACCACUUUGAAUUCCCUUGC
rnacentral:rRNA from 1 species